CUCUUAUCAAGAGUGGCGGAGGGACUGGCCCGAUGAAGCCCGGCAACCACAGGUUUUCCUGUAUGGUGCCAAUUCCUGCAGGGAAACCUGUACAGAUGAGAG
rnacentral:ncRNA from 1 species